CCUCUGGUCCCCUUCCACGCUGUGGAAGCUUUGUCCUGUUGCUUUUUGCAAUAGAUCUUGCUGCUGCUCACCCUUUGGGUCUGUGCCACCUUUAUGAGCUGUAACACUCACGUGAAGGUCUGCAGUUUCACUCCUGAGGCCAGCAAGACCACGAACCCACAGGGAGGGACAAACAACUCUGGUUUGCACCAGGCAGGGGGCAUAGCCAUGGCAAAGGCUAGGUGGACAGAAGUGGCAGGAGGCAGCAGGGCCCUUCGGAGGAGCGGAUGGAAGGCCUUCUCAGGUAAAGGGCAGAGCACCACACGCCUUUCUGACCACCACCCCCAGGGCCCAGCCGCUUCCAGGGACCAAGACAAGAGGCCCCUGUGGUCUUCUAGGUGAGCUGUAGUCAGCCUCUGUCGCUUCUGAAUAAUCACAGGGGAGCCUGUGUGCACUGACUAAGCCUCUGCCUGAGGGUGGAGGGGCAUGGACUUGGUGUCCAGCCAGGAUCCACUGGCCUCAGCCUCUGGAAAACGGGGUAUCAUGAGCUUUAGCACAGGUCAUAAAUAGGGUGGGGGUCCCUGGAAGAGGAUCUGAGGACCAUCCCUGGGGAUUUCGUCCAGCCACCAUCCAGCUGCCAUGACUCCCAGCAGCCACUAAUUCUCAUGGUACUGGGCUUGACCUCUGCAGUGUCCCAGAAGGGUGUCACCUCAUUUUAUCCUCCUGGGAUGAGUGGGGCUGAGGCCAGGGGACUCCUGCCAGAACUAAGGGUGACUGGGAGGGGUUGCCCAAGGCAGACAGGCCACCUCUAUUGCCAUCAGGCCCCCAGGAGGGCCCAGAUGAUGUGAGUGUUUGGGUGUGGGGGUGUCCUGGCCUGAUGCAGCUCCCCCUGCAGGGCUGUGCUCCCUAUGUGCACUGGGCUCUGACUCCCGCACUGGACCCUGCACUCCCACGGCACUCAGUGAUUCCAGGACCGUGGGACCCCAGAGGCUCCUCAGGGAGCUGAAGAACAUGAUGGCAGGAAGGGGUGAGGUGCCAGGAGCUAAAAGAACACAGCCAGUGGGCUGAGGCAUAAACCACGAGAAUGCAGG
rnacentral:lncRNA from 1 species